UCCCCCACAUCUCUAACCCCCCUAAUAAGUUUUUCUCCUUCCUUAGCCUCAUGUGUGUUUGACUUUGCAUCUUCCUUUUCACAGCAUGCUUUCAUGUAAGACAGAAUAUCUGCUCUUUUUCAUGAUCUUAUCUAAAGCCUUCAACAGAGGUUUCUGUGUUCCAGUUAUGAGACUGACAGCCCGACUGGACAGGCUUUAGCUUUGGAUUGUCAGCUAGAAUAUAUGAGUAUAUGCUAUAUCAUAUACAGUACAUAUAGAAAUAAACUUGAAUGCACUUGCACAAUCAAGGUGUCCUUUCCAUCCCUGUAGAUUUUGAACAAAUAUUUAAGGGCUAAUUGUGAGGCUAUAUACAAGCUACUGCAACAUAACAUUCUCAAAGCCAUGUAAUGCGCUUUUUGGUAGUUUCACAUGCAAGAUAACAAUGAGACCAGAUACCAGUCCACUGCAGGGGCCUCCAGCACAUGUCCAGUUUGGAAUCAGCACUUGACCUAACCAGCGCACCUUUGGAGAAACUGGAAUACCCAGAGUAAUACACAGGCAUGGGGCGAACUGCAGAGUGCACACAGACAACACGAGGACACGGGAUUCAGUAAAUAUAUUUACACUAGCUGUGUCAAUCGGCCUCAGCCAGGAGGUUUCUCAACACAACGGUGAUACACUUGUAUUUGUACUUUAAAACUGAAAUGAAACGUGAAAUUACCUUUGAUAAUUUUUUGUACCAUAUGAUGCAGUGAGAAGUUAAGCAAAAUGAUGCGUUUAAUUGGCUAACUCAUAUGUGUCAAACUCAAGGCCCGCGGGCCACAUCCGGCCCGGCGUGUAAUUAUAUCUGGCCCACGAGAUCAUUUUAUAUAUUAUUGCUAUUAAUGGCCCGGCGAUAUGAAGCGCUGGUAACACAAUAAACUACAGAUCCUAUAAUGCAGCGCUUCAGCUGCCUUGCCGAACACUUCCCGCGUUAAUCAAGUCUAGCUUAUGAUGCUGCAAGUUAUUGCGAAGCUAGCCCUCACGAUGCCGAAGAGAAAAGUUGAUUCUGAAAACAGAGCCUUUAAAAACCGAUGGGAGGCUGAGUAUAUGUUUACUGACAUUGCCGGUAAACCCGUGUGUCUCAUUUGUGGAGCUAAUGUGGCUGUAAUUAAAGAAUUUAAUCUAAGACGGCACUAUGAGACAAAACAUCAGGAUAACCUGAAAGACCUGAAUGCAAAGCAGAAGAUACAGAAAGCAGAAGAGUUAAAGAAGAAUCUGACACUUCAGCAGACGUUUUUUACCCGUGCAAAAUCACAAAGUGAAGCUGCUUGAAGCUGCUUUUAUGGGAAACACAAAUGCACCAGUGCAACUUGCCCCACUUUCCCUGUUGCCAAGAAAUGUUGAACCAAGUCAGCACAACGGUGUUCCCAAAUACGCACUUUGCUGAUAAACUGAGCGCACUGAGUUCGCACGGCGCUUUGGUGACUUUGAGGAACAAAAAAAGAAUUUUGAGUUGCUUCGCAACCCAUUUGCUGUCGAUGUGGAAACUGCACCUGUGCAGAUUCAGAUGGAGCUGAUUGAGCUGCAGUGUAAUGGCACACUGAAGGCAAAGUACGAUACUGCAGGGCCCGCACAGUUUAUUCACUCCAUUCCCGCAGAAAUGCUCCAGCUCCAUCUACAUGCGGCUCGAACCUUGUGCAUGUUUGGUAGCACAUAUCUGUGUGAGAAGCUCUUCUCAGUGAUGAAGACUAACAAAACAGCACACAGGAGUCGUCUCACUGAUGAGAACCUGCAGUCCAUCCUGAGAAUCUCCACAACACAGAACCUCACACCAAACAUAAACGAACUUAUUGCCAAAAAAAGAUGCCAGGCGUCCAGCUCUGAUAAAAUGACAUAAGAGCAAAGACAACUGAAUGAUUUGAUUUGUUAUUGCUGAAAAGCACAAAUUUUAUUUAUAUUUCCAGGUUUUGUUAUGCAGCAUGUUCAUAUUUUGAAUUUGUAUAAUUUUGACAGGAUAUAUUUU